GUGGGGAAUCUUCCGCAAUGGACGAAAGUCUGACGGAGCGACGCCGCGUGAGUGAAGAAGGCCUUCGGGUCGUAAAGCUCUGUCAUCAGGGACGAACGGCCGGUGGAGUGGAAAGCCACCGGAUUGACGGUACCUGAGAAGGAAGCCACGGCUAACUACGUGCCAGCAGCCGCGGUAAUACGUAGGUGGCAAGCGUUGUCCGGAAUUAUUGGGCGUAAAGCGCGCGCAGGUGGGAUCUUAAGUCCAUUGUUAAAGUUCGGAGCUCAACUCCGUGAUGGGAUGGAAACUGGGAUUCUUGAGUACCGGAGAGGAAAGCGGAAUUCCCCGUGUAGCGGUGAAAUGUGUAGAUAUGGGGAGGAACACCAGUGGCGAAGGCGGCUUUCUGGACGGUGUCUGACACUGAGGCGCGAAAGCCAGGGGAGCGAACGGGAUUAGAAACCCUUGUAGUCC
rnacentral:rRNA from 1 species